rnacentral:rRNA from 1 species
AAGUCGUAACAAGGUUUCCGUAGGUGAACCUGCGGAAGGAUCAUUACUGUGAUUUAUUUCCACACUGCGUGAGCGCACAAAACACAUAAACUAAUAGUAUAAUUGUCACACAAGAAAUCUAAGAAUAAAACUUUCAACAACGGAUCUCUUGGUUCUCGCAUCGAUGAAGAGCGCAGCGAAAUGCGAUACCUAGUGUGAAUUGCAGCCAUCGUGAAUCAUCGAGUUCUUGAACGCACAUUGCGCCCGCCGGCAUUCCGGCGGGCAUGCCUGUCUGAGCGUCGUUUCCUUCUUGGGGUCCUGCUUUGGACGCCAAACCUGGCCGGGCGACGUGCCCGGCCGAAAAGAAACGUGCGGACGAAGCGAACUACAUCAGGGACGCUUUGGCCGCCGAGCGAAGUUUUUCUACAAGCUCGACCUCAGAUCAGGUAGGAAUACCCGCUGAACUUAAGCAUAUCAAUAGGCGGAGGAA